AUACGUAGGGGGCGAGCGUUGUCCGGAAUGAUUGGGCGUAAAGGGCGCGUAGGCGGCCCGGUAAGUCUGGAGUGAAAGUCCUGUUUUUAAGAUGGGAAUUGCUUUGGAUACUGUCGGGCUUGAGUGCAGGAGAGGUAAGUGGAAUUCCCAGUGUAGCGGUGAAAUGUGUAGAGAUUGGGAGGAACACCAGUGGCGAAGGCGACUUACUGGACUGUAACUGACGCUGAGGUGCGAAAGUGUGGGGAGCAAACAGGAUUAGAUACCCUGGUAGUCCACACUGUAAACGAUGAAUGCUAGGUGUAGGGGGUAUCGACCCCUUCUGUGCCGCAGUCAACACAAUAAGCAUUCCGCCUGGGGAGUACGGCCGCAAGGUUGAAACUCAAAUGAAUUGACGGG
rnacentral:rRNA from 1 species